rnacentral:rRNA from 1 species
UACGUAGGGUGCGAGCGUUGUCCGGAAUUAUUGGGCGUAAAGGGCGCGUAGGCGGCCUACUAAGUCGGACGUGAAAUCCCUCGGCUCAACCGAGGAACUGCGUCCGAUACUGGCAGGCUGGAAUCGGGAGAGGGAUGUGGGAAUUCCAGGUGAUAGGCGGUGGAAAUGACGUAGAGUAUAUUGGGAGGGAAACAACCCGGGUGGGCCGGAAAGGGCCGGGCAAGUCC